rnacentral:rRNA from 1 species
ACUGAAUAGAUACCCCGGUAGUCCACGCCGUAAACGAUGGGUACUAGAUGUUGUGGGGAUUGACCCCUACAGUGUCGACGCUAAACGCAUUAAGUACCCCGCCUGGGAAGUACGGUCGCAAGAUUAAAACUCAAAGGAAUUGACGGGGGCCCGCACAAGCGGUGGAGCAUGUGGUUUAAUUCGAUGCAACGCGAAGAACCUUACCUGGAUUUGACAUCCUCGGACAUCCCCAGAGAUGGGGCUUCCCCGAAAGGGGCCGGGAGACAGGUGCUGCAUGGCUGUCGUCAGCUCGUAUUGUGAGAUGUCGGGUUAAGUCCCUUAACGAGCGCAACCCUUGUUCCUAGUUGCCAUCAUUCAGUUGGGCACUCUAGGGAGACUGCCGGUGUUAAACCGGAGGAAGUGGGGAUGACGUCAAGUCCUCAUGGCCUUUAAUAUCCAGGGGCUACACACGUGCUACAAU